rnacentral:snRNA from 12 species
AUAUUUACCUGGCUGGGGAAAUAUGGUCACAAAGGUGGUUUUCUCAAGGUGAGGCUCACCCUGAUCUCUGCGAUAUCCCUAAAUGUGGGAAAUUCCCACAUAAUUUGUGGUAAAAGAGGACUGCAUUUGCACCCUCCC